rnacentral:rRNA from 1 species
AUCCCCUAGUAACUGCGAGUGAAGCGGGAAAAGCUCAAAUUUAAAAUCUGGCAGUCUUUGGCUGUCCGAAUUGUAUUCUGGAGAAGCGUCUUCCGCGCUGGACCGUGUACAAGUCUCUUGGAAUAGAGCGUCAUAGAGGGUGAGAAUCCCGUCUUUGACACGGACUACCAGUGCUUUGUGAUGCGCUCUCAAAGAGUCGAGUUGUUUGGGAAUGCAGCUCAAAAUGGGUGGUGAAUUCCAUCUAAAGCUAAAUAUUGGCGAGAGACCGAUAGCGAACAAGUACCGUGAGGGAAAGAUGAAAAGCACUUUGGAAAGAGAGUUAAACAGUACGUGAAAUUGCUGAAAGGGAAACGCUUGAAGUCAGUCGCGUCAUCCAGAACUCAGCCUGGCUUCUGCCUGGUGUACUUUCUGGUUGACGGGCCAGCAUCAGUUUUGACCGCUGGAAAAAGGCCAUGGGAAUGUGGCACCUUCGGGUGUGUUAUAGCCUGUGGUCAUAUACAGCGGUUGGGACUGAGGACCGCAGCACGCCUUUAUGGUUGGGGUUCGCCCACAUUCGUGCUUAGGAUGCUGGCGUAAUGGCUUUAAACGACCCGUCUUGAAACACGGACCAAGGAGUCUAACAUGCCUGCGAGUGUUUGGAUGGAAAACCCGAGCGCACAAUGAAAGUGAAAGUUGGGAUCCCUGUCGUGGGGAGCACCGACGCCCGGACCAGACCUUUUGUGACGGAUCCGCGGUAGAGCAUGUAUGUUGGGACCCGAAAGAUGGUGAACUAUGCCUGAAUAGGGUGAAGCCAGAGGAAACUCUGGUGGAGGCUCGUAGCGAUUCUGACGUGCAAAUCGAUCGUCAAAUUUGGGUAUAGGGGCGAAAGACUAAUCG